GGUGACCUACGGGACGCAGCAGUGAGGAAUAUUGGUCAAUGGGCGGGAGCCUGAACCAGCCAAGCCGCGUGAAGGAAGAAGGCGCCAAGCGUCGUAAACUUCUUUUGUCGGGGAACAAAGGGCGCCACGUGUGGCGUUGUGAGAGUACCUGAAGAAAAAGCAUCGGCUAACUCCGUGCCAGCAGCCGCGGUAAUACGGAGGAUGCGAGCGUUAUCCGGAUGUAUUGGGUUUAAAGGGUGCGUAGGCGGAAUGCCAAGUCAGCGGUAAAAUCGCGGGGCUCAACCUCGCUCCGCCGUUGAAACUGG
rnacentral:rRNA from 1 species